ACGCUAGCUAUAGGCUUAACACAUGCAAGUCGAGGGGAAACGGCAUUAUGUGCUUGCACAUUUUGGACGUCAACCGGCGCACGGGUGAGUAUCGCGUAUCCAACCUGCCCUUUACUUGGGGAUACCCCGUUGAAAGACGGCCUAAUACCCGAUGUAAUUCAUUGAUGGCAUCAGAUAUGAAUAAAAGAUUUAUCGGUAAAGGAUGGGGAUGCGUCUGAUUAGCUUGUUGGUGAGGUAACGGCUCACCAAGGCGACGAUCAGUAGGGGUUCUGAGAGGAAGGUCCCCCACAUUGGAACUGAGACACGGUCCAAACUCCUACGGGAGGCAGCAGUGAGGAAUAUUGGUCAAUGGACGGAAGUCUGAACCAGCCGAGUAGCGUGCAGGAAGACGGCCCUAUGGGUUGUAAACUGCUUUUAUACGAGAAUAAUUUGAUGCACGUGUGCGUUAUUGCAUGUAUCGUAUGAAUAAGGACCGGCUAAUUCCGUGCCAGCAGCCGCGGUAAUACGGAAGGUCCAGGCGUUAUCCGGAUUUAUUGGGUUUAAAGGGAGUGUAGGCGGUUUGUUAAGCGUGUUGUGAAAUUUAGAUGCUCAACAUUUAACUUGCAGCGCGAACUGUCAGACUUGAGUACACGCAACGUAUGCGGAAUUCAUGGUGUAGCGGUGAAAUGCUUAGAUAUCAUGAAGAACUCCGAUUGCGAAGGCAGCAUACGGGAGUGUAACUGACGCUUAAGCUCGAAGGUGCGGGUAUCGAACAGGAUUAGAUACCCUGGUAGUCCGCACAGUAAACGAUGGAUGCCCGCUGUUAGCGCCUGGCGUUAGCGGCUAAGCGAAAGCAUUAAGCAUCCCACCUGGGGAGUACGCCGGCAACGGUGAAACUCAAAGGAAUUGACGGGGGCCCGCACAAGCGAGGAACAUGUGGUU
rnacentral:rRNA from 1 species